rnacentral:rRNA from 1 species
AUACGUAGGUGGCAAGCGUUGUCCGGAUUUAUUGGGCGUAAAGCGAGCGCAGGCGGUUUCUUAAGUCUGAUGUGAAAGCCCCCGGCUCAACCGGGGAGGGUCAUUGGAAACUGGGAGACUUGAGUGCAGAAGAGGAGAGUGGAAUUCCAUGUGUAGCGGUGAAAUGCGUAGAUAUAUGGAGGAACACCAGUGGCGAAGGCGACUCUCUGGUCUGUAACUGACGCUGAGGCUCGAAAGCGUGGGGAGCAAACAGGAUUAGAUACCCUGGUAGUCCACGCCGUAAACGAUGAGUGCUAAGUGUUGGAGGGUUUCCGCCCUUCAGUGCUGCAGCUAACGCAUUAAGCACUCCGCCUGGGGAGUACGACCGCAAGGUUGAAACUCAAAUGAAUUGACGGGG